UCACUGAUCAAGAAACUGACUGCCUGUUCUCAGUCAGAUGGAAUUGGGAAGAGGAGCUCAUUCACCUGGAAAGUAGAGAAUUUCUUGUCCUUCAAGGAAAUAAUGGAAACUAGAAAAAUUUUUAGCAAAUUCUUUCAAGCUGGUGGAUGUGAGCUUCGGAUUGCUAGGAGUAUAUGAGUCUUUUGACACCAUAUGUAUAUAUUUGGAGAGUGAUCAGUCAGUUGGCAGUGAUCCCGAGAAGAACUUUUGGGUCAGAUAUAGGAUGGCUAUUGUGAACCAAAAGAAUCCAUCUAAAACUGUUUGGAAAGAGUCUUCCAUUUGCACAAAGACCUGGAACAAUUCUAUUAUUCAGUUUAUGAAGGUAUCUGACAUGUUGGAAGCUGAUACAUGAUUUUUGCUGCGAGACACAGUUGUAUUUGUUUGUGAGAUCUUGGACUGUUGUCCAUGGUUCGAGUUUUCAGACUUCGAGGUUUUAGCUUCUGAAGAUGAUCAAGACGUCCUGACAACUAACCCUGACGAACUUAUUGAUUCUGAUGACAGUGAAGAUCUAAGUGGAGAUGAAGAAGACAUCUUCAGAAAUCUUCUAUCCAGGGCCGGGUUUCACCUUACUUGUGAAGACAAUUCUUCUUGGCAUACUUUUGUUAUUUAUUUGACAAUCAUACAAACUAACUUUUUGCACUGGUUUACAGGAACAUAUAGUAAAAACUAGUUGCGGUUCUGUCUCUGUUGCUGUUUUCGGUGAUCAGGACAAACGAGCUCUGAUUACUUGUCCUGAUUUGGCUUUAAACUAUAAGGGAACUAGACCUGAAUUUUCACCAAGUAUAUCGUCAAUUUUAAUCAAACUUCUUCUGUUUUAUACCUGUGAGGAUUUCGUGGACACUUGUUAGUCUGCUAUCAGCCUUUUUGCACGUUAUCCCAACUUCACCAAAACUUUAUUAUAUCAUCUUUUCACUAACCCAUUUAAAAGCUCCCUUUUUUUUUUUUAAAUUUUGUAUUGAACAUAUCUUCAUCAGAAAUAAUUUUCUAGUCUACCUUAAACGAUGCAAGAUGAUCGCGGCUCAUACUAGUCUUGGAAUUAUUCUGUUAAAAUGUAUUUGUCUCUCUUGAAGCAGUAUCUACUUACUUAAUCAAUUUUUUUAGCAAUGGCAAUGCAGAUAAGGUAGGCUGGUGGAACUCAUGGCUCUUUCCUCGCAUGUGCACCCCUUGAUAGCGGCAGCCACAGCUCUACAUGGCUGUCAUUUUUUUAUUAUUGUUUGAGAGAUUCGGUCUAUGUGCCAAAGCAUGUGUGUUGGGUCAAAACCUCAAAUAUGAUUCUUCAUUUGAUUCGAGCAUUGAGCGAAAGAAAGUGAGAGUAUCAUGCAGCUGUUGCUGGCCAACCCAUGUUCCACUUUCUGAGACUGCUGAGACGGUAGCAUCCCUGUAAUCCAUGUGACCAUGGCAGUAGUAGCAAGACAUUCCUAUAGUGGAGGACAAGAUAAGGUAGUACAUAUGGUGGAGGACAAGAUAAGGAUCCAGAUGCUUCGAUCCGUAAAAGGGCCCUCGAGCUUGUUUAUCUUCUAGUAAAUGAAAGCAAUGUGAAGCCUUUGACAAAGGAGCUUGUUGAUUAUCUAGAAGUAAGUGAACCGGAAUUUAAGGGAGACCUCACGGCCAAAAUUUGCUCAAUUGUGGAGAAGUUUUCUCCUGAAAGAAUAUGGUACAUUGAUCAGAUGGUGAAGGUUCUAACACAGGCUGGGAAUUAUGUGAAGGAUGAAGUCUGGCAUGCCCUUAUCAUUGUAAUUACUAAUGCUCCUAACCUCCAUGGAUAUACUGUUAAAGCACUUAACAAGGCUGUACAAACAGCAGGCGGACAGGAAACUCUUGUUCGAGUUGCUGUAUGGUGCAUUGGAGAAUAUGGCGAGAUGUUGGUUGGUAAUUCUGGCAUGCUUGAUGUGGAGGAAAGGAUAUGUUCACGCUUUUUGAAAGUUUUCUUAAUUUUCUUUUAUAAUCAGAAUUCCAGACUUUUGUAUUAAUUGGGCGUGCCGAAUGUUAAAGUUGUCCACAAAUUUGUGGUGGAUGUAGGUAAUCUUGUCCAUUAGACACCAAGAACUAAUAACUAUUCGACAAUCAUGAUACUACGUGUUAAGCGUUCAGUAACGUUAAAAAAUUGGGAAGGUGCUUUGCUGAAAAAUGGAAGGUUCUGGCUUUGUCCGAUCAGGGUCAACUAACUCUCCUUGACAAUUCGGAAGUCUUUACUCCGUCAAGGAAAAGAUGCUUAUCUCAAUUGGAAAAGUUAAAGGCUGGCACUUCUCUCAAUUUUAUUCUUUUAUGUGAGCAAUAACCGAAGUGUUUCAAGGUUUGGUAAGAAAGAAACAUGGUCCUUCACAUAUGCCAAUAUCGGCAGAUCAAAUUCGGUCUAUGUGCCAACGCAUGUGUGCUGGGUCAAAACCUCGAAUAUGAUUCUUCAUUUGAUUCGAGCACUGAGCGAAAGAAAGUGAGAGUAUCAUGCAGUUGUGGCUGGAGCCCAUGUUCCACUUUCUGGGAGUGCUGGGAGUGUAGCGUCCCUGUGAUCCAUGUGAUCAUGCCAGCAGUGGCAAACAUUCCUAUGGUGGAGGACAAGAUAAGGAUCCAGAUGCUUCGAUCCGUAAAAGGGCCCUCAAGCUUGUUUAUCUUCUAGUAAAUGAAAGCAAUGUGAAGCCUUUGACAAAGGAGCUUGUUGAUUAUCUAGAAGUAAGUGAACCGGAAUUUAAGGGAGACCUCACGGUCAAAAUUUGCUCAAUUGUGGAGAAGUAAGUUGAAUGAUCUAUAGUUUAUCUAUAAGGUUUGCUCGCUUUCUUGUCCAAUUAGUUUUAUAAUAUGAUGUUUGAUGCAUGCUAUGUUCAUGACUUCAUGUGAAUGUGUGUCCAUGUGUCUUGAAGCAGCUCAUAACUAUGGAGUACUUUACAAAAUAUCUGCUUGAUUUGGUCUCUGGAUAAGUUGUUUUCUCCAACUUUCAAGGUUUAAGAAAGUAUGGUUAUUGAUUGAUUUUGCUUUGUCUUAUAGGUCAGAUAUUUGCUUUGUUCUGAAACAAUUGUUUAAGGACAUUUAAAAGGUCUUUCUUCUUUUUCCCUACUAGUGGUCCCUCUAGCUCCUUUACUGAAAAUGUAUUGCAUGUCAAAACCUUAUUUUUGCUCUCAUUAUUGUCUUUCACCGCCACAUAUUUCUCAGUUACCUCAAUUCUAUCCCUUCACAUAUUUUUUCUCUUCUUUUCCAUGUUGUGUUGUGGCCUGUGAUCACCCAAGUAGUAAAACAUGCAUGACCUGCUAUAUUAAUUGGUUGUAGUUUAUUGUAGUUAUACAUAAUCUCAUUCAUGUUGAUGUGUGGUGCCAGGUUUGUUGUUUGUGGCUUUAUGUUAGUACGGAGAUAACAUGUCUGUUGUAUGCCUCUUUAUUUGUGUUGCUAAUAAUUAUUUCACUAAUGGAUCAAGAGAAGCUUUUGGGUAUCAAAUAUUACUUUUUCUUUUUUGUCAAUCUGGAAGUCGCCUUACAAGCAUUAUUUUCAUCCCAAACACUGGGGUGGAGUUAAGCUUAACUGCUUAAAUUCGCUUCUCUAUUGAAAGAGAUACUGUAUGAGAUUAAAGCAAAAUGAUGAAAAUGUUAAUGUUCCUCUUUAUCAGCAAAGCUGGGAUUAAUGUGCUUGGCUGAUUGUAUAGAUGUUAAAAACUUAUCUAGCAUUGAUUGUGUUGUUUCUUAGGGGUGUACGUUAAGAGUCCUCCGACGUGGAGAUAUCCCAAGGGCUCUGCCAUUUGGGCAGUCUUAGCAGGCACCUUGCAAAACAUAUUUCUAUAUCUCAUAAUUGGAUUGACAUCUUGAAAAAAGUGACUCUCCUUGUUUCUUAUAAUUGGAAUGACAUUCAGGAAAAAGUGACUUGCCUUGCCUUGCCUUCUGUAACUCAUUCUAAAAGAUGCCUUGUUAAUUAAAACUCAUGUAAACUGGGAAUUAAUCUGUUCUUGUGGUAUUCACUAUGCUCUUGCGAGCUUGGACUGAGCUUUAAGCUUCUCAAUUUUACCACCUUGUAAAGACAGCCUUGUAGCCAUGUAAUAACACUUCGCAGGGAAUGAAAACAGUUGCUAAACUGAGGAUGGUAACCUUCCAGUGAUGGUUAAACACGGAUUCACUUUGUAUGCCUAUUGCCAAGAAGCCAAUGAAUUCAUUCCAUUGGUUACAGUACUGAGUUGUUUUAAAUUUAUGAGAUGAGCUUCUGAUUGAUAAUUUUGAUGAAUAAUAA